CCCCUAGACGUUCUGGGCUGCACGCGCGCUACAAUAAUACGCACAGCGAGUAUCACCGAGCUCGAAAGGGCAAGGUAAACAAUAGAAAAGGUACUGUAAUGGUUAUAGAUCCUUGUAAUUAUUGAUCUUCAACGAGGAAUUCCUAGUAAGUAUGUGUCAUCAUCACGCACUGAUUACGUCCCUGCCCUUUGUACACACCGCCCGUCGCUCCUACCGAUUGGGUGUGCUGGUGAAAUGUUCGGAUCGGCCGUUUGUCGCGGUUUCCGCGUCAUGUGGCUGAGAAGUUCAUUAAACCCUCCCACCUAGAGGAAGGAGAAGUCGUAACA
rnacentral:rRNA from 1 species